AUGCAAGUGUUAUCCGGAAUCACUGGGCGUAAAGCGUCUGUAGGUGGUUUACUAAGUCAACUGUUAAAUCUUGAGGCUCAACCUCAAAAUCGCAGUCGAAACUAUUAGGCUAGAGUAUAGUAGGGGUAAAGGGAAUUUCCAGUGGAGCGGUGAAAUGCGUAGAGAUUGGAAAGAACACCGAUGGCGAAGGCACUUUACUGGGCUAUUACUAACACUCAGAGACGAAAGCUAGGGUAGCAAAUGGG
rnacentral:rRNA from 1 species